GGUGCUGCGGCCGCCCCCGCUCCCAGCAGCCCUUGCAGCCGCCUACAAUGAAAUUUGCGAAGUUUUUUCGGUUUCGGCGCCAUUUUCGAGUGGACUCGGAGCAGUGUUGAGAAGAAACUGUGGAUCCUGGAAUUUUACUGUGGAUUUUACUGGUUUUCUGGAGUGCUCUCCCACUGAAGCAGCGAUUGCCUGAUUGUGUCUAGGGAGUCCAUGCAGGAGCUGAUGUGCCUGUGUUCAGAGGUGAGUUGGGAAGGUAAGCUCAUGUCCCACCAAAAUACCUGUAGCAUCUGCAUCCCUCUGGGUAGAUGCAGGUCCCUCUGACACGCAUAUCCCUUCUUGGGUACUGCAGGUAAUACCUUGGAGACGUUCAGGUGAACUCAAAGCUGAACAACCGUAUUCAGAUGCCAAUUUCUGAUUUAAAGUUGAGUUUCCAAAGCACAAACUAAGUUUGAAAGAAGCUGAAGUGUGAGAUGGGAUGAUUCAAACAUGGAACUUUCUAUUGCAUAAAAUAUUGAUGCUGUCAUGUCAUAAACACGCAUAUUUUCUCAGAUACGUAUUUCACUGCCUAUCCCAAAUUUCUAGUUGCCCAAUACUCUGUGUGAAUGUUGAUUUUUCCCUCUGUGCUAGAGGCUGGUGGAGGUGUAUUGAACCCUUGCUUUGAAAAGUCCUCACUAAAGAGAGCUCUUGCCCUUGUUGUUGAACUAGACAAGAGUCUGGUUUAUAUUAAAAUAAAAAUAUUAAUUAAAACGUGAACCUCAAACUCCAUCAAAAUGGAUUCUAAAGCUGAACAUGCUUGCUGUUGUUUUUUUCUUUUGGAGUCACUUGAAGAGAGGAAAGAAAUAAGAUUGCUCAGGUACAGUCAAGUAGAACAUUGUUACAGAAGUAAUUAAUGGUAAUAUUAUGUGGGGGGUUGUUUUGAAUUAGGUCGUACAGGUUUAACACUGGCUACGUGUUGGCUUUGCAGCGAGUAGCAGUUGCUCAUUAGGGAGUUGGCCCUGGUGCUGUCAGUGUUGAGGACACUGAAGUAGUGAAAAUAUACUGCUUUUUUGUUGGCAAAUACUUGAUUUAAAAUUUGAAAUCACUUGGCAUGGGUCACAAGAACUUUUGAAAUUCCUGUUUUUAAGUUUGCUAAAGAGGCAGGGACUCAGCAGCACAUUGGGCACAAGGGGAUGGCGCAAGAAUUCGAAGCCAAGGUGUAAUUUCUGACAUUGUUCAGGUUUUUUUUGUGAUACUUCUUUUUAAGAAAAUUAACUGAAGGAAGUUGUCAUAUAACUGGUGGGGGGGGGGGAAGGUUGAAAGAAAACACAAAAAAUAUCAGUCUGUCUGCACAGCUCCUGUGCAGCCUGGCAGGCUAAUGUGUAAGUGCCACUGGCAGCUGCCUUCGGCAGGACUGCGGCCCCUUCCUGCCCUGCUCUGGUGCUUUCUGCUCUGGUACAGGCAGGGAAGGUGAUGAAGUUCCAGAUAUCUUUAAUUUCUGGUCACAUAAAGUUUGUCCAUUCACAUGGUAAAUAACCAUCAUCUAACCUUUUUAAAAAUAAGGGGUUUUUUACGUAUCUCAAAAGUCAAAUUGAGCUGAAUAAAAGUAUUUUAAGGAAAAUUUAACAGGUUUCAACUGUUGGAAUCUGGAUUUAUUUUUCUGGAAUAUUAACAUUGUGACUUCUGGAAAAUCCUUGAUUGUUAGUGUCACCUAAGAGGAAAGUACAAGGUAACAUUUCCCCACAGACCAUUUGGAAGGGCUGGGGAGUUCUGCAGGCUCUUCACAGUAGCAAAAGCAACAGAUCUGCUGGGUCUGAAAGUGUAUGAUUUGCUGGGACCCAAUACUAAGUGUUGUUUGGGGCUGGGGGGAACAGUUAAUUUCUGAUCUUGUUUCUGAAACUGGUUCAUUUGCACUGUAUAACUGCUUGUUCUCUUAUAGUUACAGACUGUCUGAUAGUACCUGUGAAGAAAAAAACCCCUUGUCCUGUGGUGGUAAUGCACGCAUGUUAAAUGUCUUCAUUGUAUAGUGUUCUUCAGUUCUUUAUAUCAUGGUUUUAAAAAAAAUUAUAUAUAUAUAUAUAUAUUCAAAAUACCAUUUGGAAUGUCAACAUUCAGUGGGCUUUGAGGAGAUGUAGCAGCACAUCAUGGUUUGUAGGGACAAGGAGAUACAGACCAUUCUGGGCUGCCUCAUUACCUCAAGGAUAAGACAAGAAAGUGAGCUUCUGGUUAUCAUAGAUGUGGAAGCUAAACACAUUCCCAUGUAUCUCGUUAGUUCAGGUAUGUGUAGACUCGUUCUCUUGGUGCUUGUACUGUGCACAUCCUUUGCAGCUACGAAUACAUCCCCUAUGAGCUCGUGUUUCUGUGGCCCUGAAGGCAGGAAGGACUUGUGGCUCCUUUUUGUUCUCCAGCAUGGGCAUGACCACAUCCCAUACUAUAUCUACCCCUCAUCUAUUGCUCUUCGGUCCUUUCACUGGCAAAGGAUUGGCCAAGGGACCCUUGCCCUGUGUUUGGGGCAGAGAGGGGGGUCUGCAGGUCAUGGAGAGCUGUCAGCAGUGCUCUAGCAGCACGUAAAUACUGGAGUUUGGGAUCGCCUGUUGCUCUCCAGUAUUGCAUUGCUGCUUUAGUGAGGCUGGAAAUCGGUCCCUGCUGCAGGAGCCGGGACUCUGGCUCUUGGGGUCCCUCCGUGGCACCCCUGUUGUGCCUCCCACACUGCCGGGGGCUCUUGACUCCCACCCUAAUAAACCACUGUGGAGGCAGCAACCAA